CUUUGACCUCAAAUCAGGUAGGACUACCCGCUGAACUU
rnacentral:rRNA from 3 species